UCAGUGCCGUAACUCUUCUGUUCUGGGCGAUACCAAGUUCAAUUUUAACGAAGCUCUUUUAGUUCCAAGAAACAGACACAGCCAGACCAGUCUGAAAAUUUUUAUUUUCUGAAAAAUGUAACUUGUAAGAACACACGUAGAGCAAAAGGGAGAAACUUGGAAAUUUUUACGCAAAAAACACCUAAGUAAAACCAUUCUUGAAAGGACACAUGAACAAAUUGAACCAGUCAGAGGGGAAAGAUCAGGAUGAUGAAGUGACUCAGAAAUCAGAUUAUUCUCUGAAGGACAUACUUAAAACUAAAAGAUGUUGGAUCUCCAAUAUGAAUUUGUGAUGUCCCUCUUCAUGGAGAGCUGCCUGAAGCUGAGAAGGGUGCGACGGACCUGAAGGCUGCACAGCGCCGGGUCUUACCCAAGGCUCAAGGUGACCGCUGCCUGGUUUCUGCUGGUGUUUAUUCAAAGCCCAAGGGCUCUCCAGUCAGCAAGUGGUGAAUCUAGUCAGACAUGUGUCCUACGCUUCAGGGCAAUGAGCUUCCCCUCAGCCUAAGAUUCCAUUAUGACAUUAGUCUCUGGUCACAAUUAUCUGAAGCCUUGCAGGAUGCACCAUUCCACUUCAUCCUGUCUUCAUCACAAGAAGAAAAGUGAGUAAAGUACAAUAAGAUAUUUAGAGAGAAA
rnacentral:lncRNA from 1 species